CCUAAAACCUGAAGCACCCAGAAAGGUCAGAGAGAGCAGGCAGAGCCCCACGAGCAGGCAUGUUCCAUCAGCUUGAGACAUGAGGUAUCUUCUGCCAGGGUCCACAGGAGCAGAAGACCAUGCUUUUUAAAGUCGUGGUUAAAGUAUAUAUAACAUAAAAUUUACCAUCUUAGCCAUUUUUAAAUGUACAGUAAAUAAAUUCACAUGGUUGUGCAAUCACCACCAUCCUUUUCUGGAAGUUUUUUCAUCUUACAAAACUGAAACUGUAUCCAUUAAACAAUAACUCCCUACUCCUCUCCCCUCCAGCCCCUGGCAACCACCAUACUACUUUCUGUUUCUAUGAAUUUCACUACACUAGAUACCUCAUAGGAGUGGAAUCAUAAAGUACAUGUCUUUUAGUUGCUGGCUUAUUUUACUUAGUAUAAUGUCCUCAAGGUUCAUUCACAUUGCAGCAUGUGUCAGAACUGUCUUCCUUUUUAAGGCUGAAUAAUAUUCAAUUGUGUGUGUAUGUCACAUUUUGGUUAUUUGCUCACCUGCUGAUGGACACUUGGGUUGCUUCCACCUUUUAGCUGUUGUAAAUAAUGCUGCUAUGAAUAUUCAUGCACAGACUUUUUUUGAGAUCCUGCUUUCAAUUAUUUAGGGUAUAUAUCCGGAAGUGGAAUUCCUUGAUCAUACAGUAAUUCUAUUUCUAAUUUUUUCAGUAACCUCCAUAUUGUUUUCCACAGCAGUUGCACUAUUUUACAGUCUUACCAACAGUGCCCAAGGGUUCCAAUUUCUCCACAUCCUUUCCAACAUUUGUUAUUUUCUGUUUUUUUUUAAAUGGUUGCUUCUAAUUGAUUGCAAAGUGGUAUCUCAUUGUAGCUUUGAUUUAUAUUUCCCUAAUGAU
rnacentral:lncRNA from 10 species